rnacentral:rRNA from 1 species
UUUAAUGUUUGAUGUUCUAACGUGGACCCGUAAUCCGGGUUGCGGACAGUGUCUGGUGGGUAGUUUGACUGGGGCGGUCUCCUCCUAAAGAGUAACGGAGGAGCACGAAGGUUGGCUAAUCCUGGUCGGACAUCAGGAGGUUAGUGCAAUGGCAUAAGCCAGCUUGACUGCGAGCGUGACGGCGCGAGCAGGUGCGAAAGCAGGUCAUAGUGAUCCGGUGGUUCUGAAUGGAAGGGCCAUCGCUCAACGGAUAAAAGGUACUCCGGGGAUAACAGGCUGAUACCGCCCAAGAGUUCAUAUCGACGGCGGUGUUUGGCACCUCGAUGUCGGCUCAUCACAUCCUGGGGCUGAAGUAGGUCCCAAGGGUAUGGCUGUUCGCCAUUUAAAGUGGUACGCGAGCUGGGUUUAGAACGUCGUGAGACAGUUCGGUCCCUAUCUGCCGUGGGCGCUGGAGAACUGAGGGGGGCUGCUCCUAGUACGAGAGGACCGGAGUGGACGCAUCACUGGUGUUCGGGUUGUCAUGCCAAUGGCACUGCCCGGUAGCUAAAUGCGGAAGAGAUAAGUGCUGAAAGCAUCUAAGCACGAAACUUGCC